rnacentral:rRNA from 1 species
UUCGAUUAUGGCUCAGAUUGAACGCUGGCCGGAUGCUUUAUGCAAAGUCGAGCGGCACGGACUUCGGUCUGGUGGCGAGUGGCGAACGGGUGAGUAAUGUCGGAACACCUAGUAGCGGGGGAUAACUACGCGAAAGCGUAGCUAAUACCGCAUACGCCCUUCGAGGAAAGCAGGGGACAUGAACUCACCACUAUUAGAGCGGCCGAUAUCAAGUUCAAGCUAGUUGGUGGGGUAACAGCUCACCAAGGCGACGAUCCGUAAGCUGUGGUUUGAGAGGGACUGACCGGCCACUGGGACUGGAACCGCGGCCGAACUCUACGGGAGGCAGCAGUGGGAAUUUUGGACAAUGGGGAAACCCUGAUCCAGCCAUCCAUGUUGAUAGAAGGCCUUCGGGUUGUAAGCCUUUUGGCAGGAAAAACGGCACAGGAUAAUGCCCCGUGCAACUGACGUAUACAGAAUAAGCACCGGCUAACUACGUGUCGGCAGCCGCGACGACAGCGGUGCAAGCGUUAAUCGGAAUUACUGGGCGUAAAGCGUGCGCAGGCAGGUUCAGGAAGAAGAUGUGAAAUCCCAGAGCUUAACUGGAACUGCAUUUUCUUUACCGAGCUAGAGUGUGUGGAGGAGGUCGAGUUACAGCAUCGCCGAUGAAAUGCGUAGAUAUGCGGAGGAGGAACCACCGAUGGCGAAGAAGGCAACCUCCUGGGAUAACACUGACGCUCAUGCACGAAAGCGUGGGGGCAAACAAGUUGAUACCCUGGUAGUCCACGCCCUAAACGAUGUCAACUAGCUGUUGGGGCCUUGAGCCUUGGUAACAGCUAACGCGUGAAGUUGACCGCCUGGGGAGUACGGUCGCAAGAUUAAAACUCAAAAUUGACGGGGACCCGCACAAGCGGUGGAUGAUGUGGUUAAUUCGAUGUAACGCGAAAAACCUUACCUACCCUUGACAUGUCUGGAAUCCCGAAGAGAUUUGGGAGUGCUCGCAAGAGAACCGGAACACAGGUGCUGCAUGGCUGUCGUCAGCUCGUGUCUACGUGAGAUGUUGAGUUAAAUUCGCUGAGCGCAACCGCCAUCAUUAGUUGCUACGAAAGAGGGCACUCUAUUAGGACUGCCGGUGACAAACCGGAGGAAGGUGGGGAUGACGUCAAGUCCUCAUGGCCCUUAUGGGUAGGGCUUCACACGUCAUACAAUGGUGCCGGGACAGAGGGUCGCCAACCCGCGAGGGGAGCCAAUCGACGAUCGUAGUCCGGAUCGCAGUCUGCAACUCGACUGCGUGAAGUCGGAAUCGCUAGUAAUCGCGGAUCAGCAUGUCGCGGUGAAUACGUUCCCGGGUCUUGCUGCCCGCCCGUCACACCAUGGGAGUGGGUUUUACCAAGUAGUUAGCCUAACCGUAAGGGCGAUUACCACGGUAGGAUUCAUGACUGGAGUGAAGUCGUAACAAGGUAG